GCAAAACAUUGCUACAAGACAAUAUUUAGCUACUCGGCAAAAGAUAUUUUGUUUCUUAGGGUAGGUGGUAUCCUUUCCUCAUUUUACAUUCAGAUACCAACUGGAUUGACAGUUUUAUCUUCCUUUUCAAUACUAGAAAUAGAAGGAUUGAUUGCCUCAUCAACGCAAAGUGAGUACAACUUGAAUCUGCUCUAUCUGCUUGAAUCUGCUCUAGCUACUGUGUUUCUGUCUAGGCUGCUGAGUUCAAUUUGGUGAUCUUCUGACCUUAAUAAAACUUAAGGUACCAUUCUGUUUGGUGGGAUCAAUGUUCGUGUGAGUUGGAAUGGAACUGCAGCUUUGCAAGCUACCACUUAUCAUUAGUUCUGCCUUUUUUGACCUCCCAUCCACCACUGAGUAAUAGUGGCACUCAAGGCAAAAGUGUUAGCAAGACAGGCCAUGAGAGUACCUGUCACUCACAUUCUACAAAGGAGACUGGCCUAGAAAUUAAUAAGCAACAGGGACUUAGCUCGGUAGUAAUGCAAGCUGCCUGGAAAGCAGAGGGUUGCUGGUUUGAUCCCUAGCUUCUCCCCANAAGUAGGCAAUGGCAAACAAUUUCUGUUUCUCCCCUAGGAAAACUGCAUAAAGAUUCCCAUGGAGGCACCCAUGCAGUCAGCCAUGCAGCCACAACUCAAUGAUACCCAACAACAACAAGUAAUCUACCACUCAUACCUUCCUUCCAGCAUCUGCCAUCCAAGGUUGUCUUUUAGUGGCCGGCUUUCAUUCCCAGGACAGGCUUCCUAACUUGGUUGUUUUUAUUAUUUUCUUUUGUUGCUUUGUGAUUGCAUUAAAGGAAAGAAAACAGUUGAAAGA
rnacentral:lncRNA from 1 species